UAAAUCUCUCUCAUGUCACAUC
rnacentral:siRNA from 1 species